UCUCUCUCCCUCCUGCUGCGACCCCUCCUCUCGAUCCACCCCCUCCCACUGCGACCUCUCUCUUUCCCUCUUUCUCCCACUCCACCGCCGCCGCCCCGCCUCCCGCUCCGCCGCCCCGCCUCCCGCUCCGCCGCCGAGAGGCUAUCAAGCAGCCGGCAUCGAUAUCCGAGAGGAGUCACCCUUCGCCGCCGCCGAGAUCCCGUGCCUCUCUACAGAUCCCUCUCGCUCUCCUCUUCGCCCAUCCACCCGGAUCAAAAGUCGAAACCCGCCGCCCCUAUGUCUCUGCUGGUGCUCGACGGAAGACGAGGGCGGCUCCUCCCAGCGAUUCCCCGUGGUCCUCGGCGGAGGUGACGGCUAGCUGCAGCGAAAAGACAAUGGGGUGAUGCUCACCUUCGCCGAGGAGAAGAUGCUCACCUUCUCGCCCCUCCCCCUACCGUGAUGUACGUGGAUGAAUCCGACGGCAACGAGGAUGACCUCGUAGGAUCCAACCACGGUUGUGCGGAAUUUCGCGGGGACGAAUCUACCCGGCCUCUCGUCCUAUCCGCCGCCGGUAGAGGCAUCCAUGUACGAUGGUGUGAAUUUUGGCUGGUUCCAUGAGCACUUCGUUCCCUGCGGUGUAGUCUUCGUUGAUAAGGGAAGAUGGUGGUUGUCUGUUUAGCCAUUUCAAUCUGCUAUUGAUCAUGCUCAUUCUUGUUAUAUUCAGUUAUAUUGGAAACACCAUCUGAUUCAGUUAUAUUCUUGAUCAUGCUCAUGCUCAUCCUUAUUCAAAUAAGAAUACUUCUGUUUGGAGAGCUCGGGCGUCAGCUGUGUGGAAGCACCAGCUGAUUUGUAACUGGUCGGAAGGUCGCCGCCAAGGGUGAGCUCAUGCAGCGGUAUAGGUAUAAGGGAGUAAACUGGAUCGGCUAAUCUUGAGUUCCUCCACCAAGUUAUAUUACUUCGACAAGAAAAAGUGCAGAAAGACCAUAUAAAGUACUCUGGUUAUGUGCAUUAUUGAUCAACCAAUCUUGAGAGAGAGAUGGGUUGGCGUGAAUGGGAAGAAAACUACAUUGAAUGGACAAGAAGUAUGCCCUCAACUUUUUCAUGGUAUGUCUUACUUAUUGUUCUUGUGAUUUUUCCAUCAGUUUCACUUUACAUUUCUUCUUUGCUUUUUCAUGGCAUCGGGAUGCCCACUGCCGACGGCGCUGCGUUGCUACCAAAGGGGCACCCUGCCGCGGCCGGGGACUCGCUGCCGUCGAAGCACGACACCUUGCCGUCACGUAUGUUGGGUGUUGUGGUGCUGCAGGUCCUUGGGGUUGGGUGCGGCAACUCGAGACUCGAAGACGAUCUUCUGUGGUAGGGCGUCGCCGGCGGCGGCGGCACCUGUAUAGACCGUCUCGGUGUGACAGAAGAGUUCGGAGUUCACUCCAAGAAAGAAUUGCUUUGCAUGUACAUUUGCUGAAAGACUGAUGUGCUGAACUUUCGAUGAUUUUGAUUGGUAUUCAACUUGAGGAAUUUCAUACUUUUGGAGUGGAUCUAUCAAAUAUAUGUGUGCUCGAUGUUGGUGUUUUAAUCCGGAUCUCUCGCUGAAGGUGCUUGAUGUUGGUGUUUGAAUACUGCUACCGUACUUCAAGUCUAUGAAGAAUUGCAAGGAGGAGGAUAAUAGAGCAGCAACCAGAGCUGACAAUUGGCCUGUAAAUGCAGCAAAGUUCUCCUAGAGGUGUGAUGUUGGUGGUGAUUUUCUUAUCCGGGGAUAUGGAUGUGGCGGGUCUAUGGGCACCAUGCUGACAAUGAGAAGGAGGUGCAGGUAGCGGGCGCUUGAGGUGAGGUGGCUGCAGGGUCGCUCGAGAAGAACAGGCUCAUCAGCACCACCUGGAUGCCUUCGUCAUCAGCAAUGUGGACAAGGUAAAGUGGGAUGGUGGGAUUGUAUAGUGUUCAUAAGCCAGUCCGGGCAUUGUCCUUCCUCGAAUGAAUCUGAGACUACUCCUCAUAUGUUAAUCAGUUGCUCCUCCCUAGCUUUGGUUUGGUCUGAACUUCAAAGUUUUCAUCCACUCAAUGUUGAUUCAGUCAAAGAUCUCUUGGAAAAAUUAUUUCGACAAGAUUCACUCUAUAAUGUUGUUAUCAUUGUCCUCUGGAAUAUAUGGAAGCGCAAAAACUCCAAGGUCUCCCGAGAUGUUUGUGAGGAAUUGCACAUUACUGCUAGCAAGAUUGCUGAUGAUUGAUACCAUGGUCCAACAGUUCUCAGUUUUAUGAAGUGGUUCAGGCUGGCGUAAGCCGCCAUACUCCCAGUAAAAAAAGGCUACAAGCUUCGCUUCGGCCUUUCGGAACUGAAUAUUAUGUAGUUUUAUUGAGAUUAUUGAUAGUGCUUCUGUACUAUCAAAGAAGGUAAUAGUCUCUUAUGUGUUUCUUUUUGUCCAUUUGAAUGCACUCCAUUUUUUAGUGUAUUAAUUAACAUCAAACCUCCCAUUCUUUCUAGAGUACUGAUGUAUUAGUAUUUUCAGCUUAACACAUUUAACUUCCUAUAGAUUUCAUGGUUUAUGCAGAUUAACCGAGCUAAGAAUUUUUGUGAAGCUAAAGCUGGUGUUAAGAUGAACGCCGCUAUGUAUAUAUUUGAAACAGUUAGAUACAUGCUUGACAGACUAUAUAGGGGUGAUCAAAACCAUGCGAAGCAUUAUGGGACAAGUUUCUCUACCUUAAAUAAGUGUUCGUUCUCUCGUGUUUACUAUUCAUUUAAGGGUCAUUAACCCGUGUAUUUAUUUUCAUUGACCAAGUUUUACAUUUUUCUUCAGUAGUGUUCAUUGUGCAGUUCUAGAUUGUUAAGAGAGUAGAGUUUAUUGAUUUAUUACAUGGAGAGACCAGUAGUGUCGUAGUGGUCUUGACAUAAUUGCUAACAUUUUCUACUAGGCAAAGUUUAAUUGCACUAAAUACAAAUUAGAACAUGCAUAGACAUUUAUCUUCUUUCUACAGAAUGGUUAGUGUAAACGUACUUUGAGUUGUACAUGAUUCUGUAUCUCACCAUUUUAUCUCAUAUGUUGAUGUGGUUGCAGAUAUGAACUUCAAAUUAUCCUGCAAUGUAUUGACUGCUCGGAGCUAACUUGACUACGCCAGUUUUCUUUUAUGGCUCAAAGUAGUUAGUGUCCCCCCUUAUUAUGAGAGAGGUACUACUUCAAACAUCUCUUCUUAAUGUUUUAUGUCAUGGCAUACAGUAUGAGGGAGUGUUAGUUGGCUUGACUUUCGUGGCACUCAUUGAUAACCUUUCAGUUUAGGAGUUUUUGUGGCCUCUUAAUCCAUGAGAGUAUGCUCAUAUUGAAGAAGUUAGUCAUAAUGAGGGGCACCAUAAAUGUUUGUUAUCUGGCACAAAUUCCUAAUGAAUAUCACAUGUGAACCUUUUACUGUUCUGUUAUUCAAAUUUCAUUGUACUAUUCAUACAGUAAAAUAUGAGUGCCAUGUCAGAAUAUGGUUCUCGAUCUGAAAGAUCAUAUUCGAA